rnacentral:rRNA from 1 species
ACACAUGCAAGUCGAACGGUAACAGAAAGCAGCUUGCUGCUUUGCUGACGAGUGGCGGACGGGUGAGUAAUGUCUGGGAAACUGCCUGAUGGAGGGGGAUAACUACUGGAAACGGUAGCUAAUACCGCAUAACGUCGCAAGACCAAAGAGGGGGACCUUAGGGCCUCUUGCCAUCGGAUGUGCCCAGAUGGGAUUAGCUAGUAGGUGGGGUAACGGCUCACCUAGGCGACGAUCCCUAGCUGGUCUGAGAGGAUGACCAGCCACACUGGAACUGAGACACGGUCCAGACUCCUACGGGAGGCAGCAGUGGGGAAUAUUGCACAAUGGGCGCAAGCCUGAUGCAGCCAUGCCGCGUGUAUGAAGAAGGCCUUCGGGUUGUAAAGUACUUUCAGCGGGGAGGAAGGGAGUAAAGUUAAUACCUUUGCUCAUUGACGUUACCCGCAGAGGAAGCACCGGCUAACUCCGUGCCAGCAGCCGCGGUAAUACGGAGGGUGCAAGCGUUAAUCGGAAUUACUGGGCGUAAAGCGCACGCAGGCGGUUUGUUAAGUCAGAUGUGAAAUCCCCGGGCUCAACCUGGGAACUGCAUCUGAUACUGGCAGGCUUGAGUCUCGUAGAGGGGGGUAGAAUUCCAGGUGUAGCGGUGAAAUGCGUAGAGAUCUGGAGGAAUACCGGUGGCGAAGGCGGCCCCCUGGACGAAGACUGACGCUCAGGUGCGAAAGCGUGGGGAGCAAACAGG